UAAAUUAGUUCUGCCCAAUGAUUUAUUAUUGAAUGGCUGCAGUAUUUUAACUGUGCGAAGGUAGCAUAAUUAUUAGUUUAUUAAUUGUAAACUUGUAUGAAUGGUUUCUUGAGAAUUAAGCUUUCUUUAUUUUAUUGUUAUGAAUUUAUAUUUUUUGUUAAAAUACAAAGAUUUAUUUAUUAGACGAGAAGACCCUAUAAAACUUUAUAUAAUUAUAUAUAUUUAAUAUUGUGAUUAUAUUUAAUUGGGGGGAUUAUGGAAUUUUUUUAACUUUCAUUUUAUUUAUUUCAUUAAUUAUUGUUUUAUUGAUUUAUUAUAUUACAUUAAAGAUUAAGUUACUUUAGGGAUAACUUUAGUCGUAUAUUUAUUGAUAAUGUUUGAUCCUGUGAAUUGGAUAAG
rnacentral:rRNA from 1 species